rnacentral:lncRNA from 1 species
ACACUACUGUGACCACAUACUCUCAGACUUAGCCUCUCAAAUCUCAUAGAACUAUUUCUCUCUAUCAAGAUCGAUAGAUUCUAUCUAGAUGUAUAUCCUACUCCUAUAGUAGCUCAACUGUCGUCAAUAUCCACUAUAAAGAGCCAUUGAGAUCAUGUUUAUGUGUCAAUCAAACUCCAGCAGCCUCAUGCAAGCAGUCGCACCAUCA